rnacentral:rRNA from 1 species
UACAGAGGGUGCGAGCGUUGUUCGGAAUUAUUGGGCGUAAAGAGCUCGUAGGCGGUGUGUCGCGUCGGCCGUGAAAACCUGCAGCUUAACUGUGGGCUUGCGGUCGAUACGGGCAUCACUGGAGUUCGGCAGGGGAGACUGGAAUUCCUGGUGUAGCGGUGAAAUGCGCAGAUAUCAGGAGGAACACCGGUGGCGAAGGCGGGUCUCUGGGCCGAUACUGACGUUGAGGAGCGAAAGCGUGGGGAGCGAACAGG